rnacentral:lncRNA from 1 species
GGAAAUUAACGGGAGUCUGAAAAGACCGUACUAUAUCCGGUCCUGCACUAUAAGCGGUUACGUUAUAAGUGGUCUAUACUGUACUACUAUCACUUUCACAAGAUUUUACGUGACUCUACAUCAGACUUGUUUAGGGAUGUGGCCGACAGCAUUCCUGGCACUGUACGCAAAUAGCAAGCUUGACACAGCACCAGAAACGCUGACGGCCAUAUAUGCCGACACCAUCCGGUACUUAGUUAACAUGAAAUCUCGCGAGACUGAUAGUAUCUCCGAAAAUGAUUGACCGAGAAUACCGCUCCAGAUCGUAGUCGAGCACAAAAUGAAUCCACACACUAACAGCAACCUUCACGAACAUGUACUUUGUCACCAUUCUGUGAUAGCGAUGAGGCUGCGUCUUAUGGCUCUGACGGUAGGCUGUUGCCAGCGCUGCCAACACCCGGUUUUGGUUUUGUACCCGAUUGUAACAGGCAGGCAAUUAUUUUCGGAUUCAUUUUCUUAGAAAAAAGGUACGCGUUAGAUUAAGGUAAAUAAGGUGCAGUAGGUGUAGCACUGCUUUUGACACGCAAACGCUUUUUAGGCAUAGGUAUCACAAUGUUCACGUCUGUUCUGCCAGAGCUCCAUAUAUGCACUUGACAAUGCAAUACUGAACACUUCACCAGGCUCCAUCUGAUGCACCCACCAAAAGUGGAACAGCCGCUCCUAAAGGCACGAACACUGAUACAAGACUGCACUGGUAGUCCAUGUGGGUAGCACUUAAAUGACACUUCCACACAGAACUUUUGUCAGCAGUUAAGGACUAGCACUUGGAAGCAACUUUCACUAAAGCUGCAAGGAACAGCACUCUGGGUAAUUCCAGCUAACAAGUGCUAACACCAUGAAAGAACCUCCCAGUACUGUUCGAAAGUGGUAAAUCUGUCGGACAACAGAGCAAGUGCCAAAUGGUCAGUACAGGGGAGACAAACAUUGUGGGAAAAUGUGAGUGCUUGACUCCUGCUUCAUGCCAAGUCAGACGCAACUGAAAGUAAAGAGCACAGUGGGAGUUGCCUUCAGCACAAUUUCUGCUACUGCACCGGGCAAUGUGUGGCUUGGUGAGUAGAAAUUGGUGUGCGCCAAGAGCAGAGGAACUUACUUGUUCCCAGUGAACAAACGUUAACACCGCACACUUGACACACAAUGUUCUUUCGAGGCAUCGGGUGCCACACCAUAUCACUAUUCAUGACUAUGCAAUGCACUGGCUGCCAUCCAUGUAUGUGGCACCAGAAUCUGGCAUGACACAGAGCUCAAGCCACGUCCUCACUUGUUCCUGCUAAGUAUGGUCUUGCCUGUACAGAGAGCAAUGCUCUUGUUAAGCUUCUUGUUCGUUUUUGCCUUCUUGGGCUGGAAACUUUGGCGCAGUUUCCACAUUUAUGCAAUAAACCCUACAGACACAAUGACCCUAUUGAAUACAGAUGCCUUCUGUAAAACAUGGGGCACUAUAUACUAGUUGUGUCUGUGUAUGUUAUUUUGGCUUCUUGUUGCGGCGAUCCCUUGGGCUGCCACGCUGCCACUCA